rnacentral:lncRNA from 1 species
GAAACACUGAAGCAUCUGAAAGCAUCAAGGAAUAGAAGUUCUGUAGUAAUUCAGGUAAUGUCAGGUGAUGCAAUAUUUAAGCUGUGUUUAGAGUCAAUGUUAGUAACAGUGCUGUAGUACAGUAACAGUAAUGUAGUUUACUGUACUGUAGUUUAAAAUACUACUGUAUUAGUACUGUAUUAGUACUACUGUACUGUAGUUUAAAAUUUGAUUAAACAAAAUGCUGAUAUAUACCCUGAUUCACCAAGGUAGUUGCAGUUGCUAUGUAUUUUUACUAUACUUUGGAUAUCAUGUGGGGGCAAGGCAGUAUAAAGAUAUGGCACACUUUUUAAUCAUGGAUGUAGCUUUGUUGUAUCUUCAUUAAGUAUGUGUGUGAUCUUAUGCACAAAGAGAUGAAAGUAGGCAGUACCUUUGUAUCAAAGGAAAGAAUUAAAAACAGCCAAGAGCAAGACAUCACUUCAGCAGAUGAAGCACAGAGCAGACCUAGAUUCAUCCAACAUUUUCAAAUAUACAUGGAAAAAGUAAGACUGUUUGUAAAUUCUACUUCAUCAGAAUAAAUGCUUUCCUCUGGAGGAUGUUGACCAUUACUUGGGAAGAAAAAAAAAAAAAAAAAGGAAAAAAGAAAAGGAAAAAAAAAAGGUUUCCAGUGCUAUAGGGAGUAAAUUUACUUUUUGUUUGCUGUAAAAAUGCUGAAAAGUUUAUGUUUAAAAAUACCCUAUAAAAAAAUGUAAAAAAAAAAAAAAAAAAAGAGGUUUAAUUUAGAAAAUUUGAAACUCAAUUGGUUUUGGAUGCUCUGGUUUCAAAACUUAUAUGAGCUGUAUUUGCUACAUUUUCUCCAGAACUGUACUGAUUUGAAAGGGUAUUGAAUAUCUGGAAAUCUUGGGAGCCACAGAUGACCACUGGAACCUGGUUUGUGAAAUUUUCUCAUAGCUUUGGAAGACCUCCAGCUGAACCCAGACUGCUUGUUACAGACAGACUUCUUCAGACAGAGACAAAAGCUUGGUUACAAUGGUGUCAACUUAUGUUUUUAUAUAUUUUCUACAGAUACGAGGGCAAUCUAAAGGUUAUAGGAACAUGGAAAUUGUUAUACAAGAUUGGUUUAAG